rnacentral:rRNA from 1 species
UACGUAGGGUGCAAGCGUUAAUCGGAAUUACUGGGCGUAAAGCGUGCGCAGGCGGUUAUGCAAGACAGAUGUGAAAUCCCCGGGCUCAACCUGGGAACUGCAUUCAAAACUGACAAGCUAGAGUAUGGUAGAGGGUGGUGGAAUUUCCUGUGUAGCGGUGAAAUGCGUAGAUAUAGGAAGGAACACCAGUGGCGAAGGCGACCACCUGGACUGAUACUGACACUGAGGUGCGAAAGCGUGGGGAGCAAACAGG